AAUGAACGCUGGCGGCGCGCCUAAUACAUGCAAGUCGAGCGAGAAGACGUAGCAAUACGUUUGUAAAGCGGCGAACGGGUGAGGAAUACAUGGGUAACCUACCCUCGAGUGGGGAAUAACUAGCCGAAAGGUUAGCUAAUACCGCGUACGCUCCUUGGACUUCGGUUCAGGGAGGAAAGCGAUACCGUGGGUAUCGCGCUCUUGGAUGGGCUCAUGUCCUAUCAGCUUGUUGGUGAGGAACGGCUCACCAAGGCUUCGACGGGUAGCUGGUCUGAGAGGACGAUCAGCCACACUGGCACUGCGACACGGGCCAGACUCCUACGGGAGGCAGCAGUAAGGAAUAUUGCGCAAUGGGCGAAAGCCUGACGCAGCGACGCCGCGUGGGGGAUGGAGGUCUUCGGAUUGUAAACCCCUUUCGGGAGGGAAGAUGGAACGAGCAAUCGUUCGGACGGUACCUCCAGAAGCAGCCACGGCUAACUUCGU
rnacentral:rRNA from 1 species